rnacentral:rRNA from 2 species
GGGUUGUGAGGUUAAGCGACUAAGCGUACACGGUGGAUGCCCUGGCAGUCAGAGGCGAUGAAGGGCGUGCUAAUCUGCGAUAAGCGCCGGUAAGGUGAUAUGAACCGUUAUAACCGGCGAUACCCGAAUGGGGAAACCCAGUGUGAUUCGUCACACUAUCAUUAACUGAAUCCAUAGGUUAAUGAGGCGAACCGGGGGAACUGAAACAUCUAAGUACCCCGAGGAAAAGAAAUCAACCGAGAUUCCCCCAGUAGCGGCGAGCGAACGGGGAGGAGCCCAGAGCCUGAAUCAGCAUGUGUGUUAGUGGAAGCGUCUGGAAAGGCGCGCGAUACAGGGUGACAGCCCCGUACACAAAAGCGCAUGUGCUGUGAGCUCGAUGAGUAGGGCGGGACACGUGGUAUCCUGUCUGAAUAUGGGGGGACCAUCCUCCAAGGCUAAAUACUCCUGACUGACCGAUAGUGAACCAGUACCGUGAGGGAAAGGCGAAAAGAACCCCGGCGAGGGGAGUGAAAAAGAACCUGAAACCGUGUACGUACAAGCAGUGGGAGCCCCACCACCAAAGCAUUCUCUGGUGUUGAAGGCCCUGCAAAGCAGCAUCGCGGUGGCGGAGCGUCGUUUGCGACGCCCAACACACAAAACAAGCGGUGAAUGCUUUGGGGUGGGGUGACUGCGUACCUUUUGUAUAAUGGGUCAGCGACUUAUAUUCUGUAGCAAGGUUAACCGAAUAGGGGAGCCGGAGGGAAACCGAGUCUUAAUUGGGCGUUAAGUUGCAGGGUAUAGACCCGAAACCCGGUGAUCUAGCCAUGGGCAGGUUGAAGGUUGGGUAACACUAACUGGAGGACCGAACCGACUAAUGUUGAAAAAUUAGCGGAUGACCUGUGGCUGGGGGUGAAAGGCCAAUCAAACCGGGAGAUAGCUGGUUCUCCCCGAAAGCUAUUUAGGUAGCGCCUCGUGAAUUCAUCUCCGGGGGUAGAGCACUGUUUCGGCUAGGGGGCCAUCCCGGCUUACCAACCCGAUGCAAACUGCGAAUACCGGAGAAUGUUAUCACGGGAGACACACGGCGGGUGCUAACGUCCGUCGUGAAGAGGGAAACAACCCAGACCGCCAGCUAAGGUCCCAAAGUCAUGGUUAAGUGGGAAACGAUGUGGGAAGGCCCAGACAGCCAGGAUGUUGGCUUAGAAGCAGCCAUCAUUUAAAGAAAGCGUAAUAGCUCACUGGUCGAGUCGGCCUGCGCGGAAGAUGUAACGGGGCUAAACCAUGCACCGAAGCUGCGGCAGCGACGCUGAUGCGUUGUUGGGUAGGGGAGCGUUCUGUAAGCCUGUGAAGGUGUGUCGUGAGGCAUGCUGGAGGUAUCAGAAGUGCGAAUGCUGACAUAAGUAACGAUAAAGCGGGUGAAAAGCCCGCUCGCCGGAAGACCAAGGGUUCCUGUCCAACGUUAAUCGGGGCAGGGUGAGUCGACCCCUAAGGCGAGGCCGAAAGGCGUAGUCGAUGGGAAACGGGUUAAUAUUCCCGUACUUGGUGUUACUGCGAAGGGGGGACGGAGAAGGCUAUGUUGGCCGGGCGACGGUUGUCCCGGUUUAAGCGUGUAGGUGUGUGUUCCAGGUAAAUCCGGUUCACUUUAACACUGAGGCGUGACGACGAGGCACUACGGUGCUGAAGCAACAAAUGCCCUGCUUCCAGGAAAAGCCUCUAAGCAUCAGGUAACACGAAAUCGUACCCCAAACCGACACAGGUGGUCAGGUAGAGAAUACCAAGGCGCUUGAGAGAACUCGGGUGAAGGAACUAGGCAAAAUGGUGCCGUAACUUCGGGAGAAGGCACGCUGACACGUAGGUGAAGUGAUUUACUCAUGGAGCUGAAGUCAGUCGAAGAUACCAGCUGGCUGCAACUGUUUAUUAAAAACACAGCACUGUGCAAACACGAAAGUGGACGUAUACGGUGUGACGCCUGCCCGGUGCCGGAAGGUUAAUUGAUGGGGUCAGCGCAAGCGAAGCUCCUGAUCGAAGCCCCGGUAAACGGCGGCCGUAACUAUAACGGUCCUAAGGUAGCGAAAUUCCUUGUCGGGUAAGUUCCGACCUGCACGAAUGGCGUAAUGAUGGCCAGGCUGUCUCCACCCGAGACUCAGUGAAAUUGAACUCGCUGUGAAGAUGCAGUGUACCCGCGGCAAGACGGAAAGACCCCGUGAACCUUUACUAUAGCUUGACACUGAACAUUGAGCCUUGAUGUGUAGGAUAGGUGGGAGGCUUUGAAGUGUGGACGCCAGUCUGCAUGGAGCCGACCUUGAAAUACCACCCUUUAAUGUUUGAUGUUCUAACGUGGACCCGUAAUCCGGGUUGCGGACAGUGUCUGGUGGGUAGUUUGACUGGGGCGGUCUCCUCCUAAAGAGUAACGGAGGAGCACGAAGGUUGGCUAAUCCUGGUCGGACAUCAGGAGGUUAGUGCAAUGGCAUAAGCCAGCUUGACUGCGAGCGUGACGGCGCGAGCAGGUGCGAAAGCAGGUCAUAGUGAUCCGGUGGUUCUGAAUGGAAGGGCCAUCGCUCAACGGAUAAAAGGUACUCCGGGGAUAACAGGCUGAUACCGCCCAAGAGUUCAUAUCGACGGCGGUGUUUGGCACCUCGAUGUCGGCUCAUCACAUCCUGGGGCUGAAGUAGGUCCCAAGGGUAUGGCUGUUCGCCAUUUAAAGUGGUACGCGAGCUGGGUUUAGAACGUCGUGAGACAGUUCGGUCCCUAUCUGCCGUGGGCGCUGGAGAACUGAGGGGGGCUGCUCCUAGUACGAGAGGACCGGAGUGGACGCAUCACUGGUGUUCGGGUUGUCAUGCCAAUGGCACUGCCCGGUAGCUAAAUGCGGAAGAGAUAAGUGCUGAAAGCAUCUAAGCACGAAACUUGCCCCGAGAUGAGUUCUCCCUGAGACUUUAGGUCUCCUGAAGGAACGUUGAAGACGACGACGUUGAUAGGCCGGGUGUGUAAGCGCAGCGAUGCGUUGAGCUAACCGGUACUAAUGAACCGUGAGGCUUAACCUUACAACGCCGAAG